AGAGUUUGAUCAUGGCUCAGAUUGAACGCUGGCGGCAGGCCUAACACAUGCAAGUCGAACGGUAACAGGAAACAGCUUGCUGUUUCGCUGACGAGUGGCGGACGGGUGAGUAAUGUCUGGGAAACUGCCUGAUGGAGGGGGAUAACUACUGGAAACGGUAGCUAAUACCGCAUAACGUCGCAAGACCAAAGAGGGGGACCUUCGGGCCUCUUGCCAUCAGAUGUGCCCAGAUGGGAUUAGCUAGUAGGUGGGGUAACGGCUCACCUAGGCGACGAUCCCUAGCUGGUCUGAGAGGAUGACCAGCCACACUGGAACUGAGACACGGUCCAGACUCCUACGGGAGGCAGCAGUGGGGAAUAUUGCACAAUGGGCGCAAGCCUGAUGCAGCCAUGCCGCGUGUAUGAAGAAGGCCUUCGGGUUGUAAAGUACUUUCAGCGGGGAGGAAGGGAGUAAAGUUAAUACCUUUGCUCAUUGACGUUACCCGCAGAAGAAGCACCGGCUAACUCCGUGCCAGCAGCCGCGGUAAUACGGAGGGUGCAAGCGUUAAUCGGAAUUACUGGGCGUAAAGCGCACGCAGGCGGUUUGUUAAGUCAGAUGUGAAAUCCCCGGGCUCAACCUGGGAACUGCAUCUGAUACUGGCAAGCUUGAGUCUCGUAGAGGGGGGUAGAAUUCCAGGUGUAGCGGUGAAAUGCGUAGAGAUCUGGAGGAAUACCGGUGGCGAAGGCGGCCCCCUGGACGAAGACUGACGCUCAGGUGCGAAAGCGUGGGGAGCAAACAGGAUUAGAUACCCUGGUAGUCCACGCCGUAAACGAUGUCGACUUGGAGGUUGUGCCCUUGAGGCGUGGCUUCCGGAGCUAACGCGUUAAGUCGACCGCCUGGGGAGUACGGCCGCAAGGUUAAAACUCAAAUGAAUUGACGGGGGCCCGCACAAGCGGUGGAGCAUGUGGUUUAAUUCGAUGCAACGCGAAGAACCUUACCUGGUCUUGACAUCCACGGAAGUCUUCAGAGAUGAGAAUGUGCCUUCGGGAACCGUGAGACAGGUGCUGCAUGGCUGUCGUCAGCUCGUGUUGUGAAAUGUUGGGUUAAGUCCCGCAACGAGCGCAACCCUUAUCCUUUGUUGCCAGCGGUCCGGCCGGGAACUCAAAGGAGACUGCCAGUGAUAAACUGGAGGAAGGUGGGGAUGACGUCAAGUCAUCAUGGCCCUUACGACCAGGGCUACACACGUGCUACAAUGGCGCAUACAAAGAGAAGCGACCUCGCGAGAGCAAGCGGACCUCAUAAAGUGCGUCGUAGUCCGGAUUGGAGUCUGCCACUCGACUCCAUGAAGUCGGAAUCGCUAGUAAUCGUGGAUCAGAAUGCCACGGUGAAUACGUUCCCGGGCCUUGUACACACCGCCCGUCACACCAUGGGAGUGGGUUGCAAAAGAAGUAGGUAGCUUAACCUUCGGGAGGGCGUUUACCACUUUGUGAUUCAUGACUGGGGUGAAGUCGUAACAAGGUAACCGUAGGGGAACCUGCGGUUG
rnacentral:rRNA from 1 species